AUUGUAGGACAAUGGAUAGCGCGCGCGUUGGACUUCUAAUCCAAAGGUCGUGGAUUGGAAUCCCACCUGGGAUG